AGUCUACUACCAGGGAAAUAGUAGUAGACUAUUUACACAGUCCAAAACAUUCCCAGUCUAUACGCCACAGCAGGGUCACUUCAAUAAACCACUAAGUCCAACCGUUACGCCCCCACGCCAGCAGGGGAGACACUUCCUCUAGUGAGCAGUGGUUGCACUGUGGUCGCGCUUCCACCAGAACAGCUGAUAGGAUAAACAACAGUCAGUGUGCGGCGGCAAAUUCAGAGAGGAGCAUCUCCAAGCCUCGCCUUCCCACAGGCUGCAGCGAGCUGUACUUGGAUUCAGCAGAACAGAAAGGCUAGCCUACAGUUUCAUUAGGCUACUACUUCACGUUAUUUGGAUGUGAAUCAUAAACAACGCGCCCACGAUCGUCUGCGCUCAUUCCUUCUAGAAGAGGGGACCUUUAAACGAGCACUUCCCUUUUUGCUUGGAAGAAUGGAGAGCAUUGGAUCUAGUGCCAGAUGAGUGGUUACUUGUCUCGCCAGGAGAAUGGACAUCUGCUUUUGGAAAAUCAGAGCCAGUCGUAGCCUACCAGGUUUCACUCGGAGACACAUAGGCGCUACCGGAGCAAUGACUAACUUUGCCUCUUAAUGGGGUCGGGACCUCCUCUUUGCUCGGAGCUGUCUGCAAGUCAUUCAAGCAAUUAGGUAAACUCUAGGUUGCUGUCCAUAGAGGACCGGUUGGCUGCUCUGGAGUCGAAAAACUGUGCGGGAGAGACAAACUUUAAGAAGAGACUGGUGCACAAUCCCAAGCUUGCAGAAGCAGUACGCCGUCUUCACAACUCGGAGACAAAUUGCAGGCGCUACGAACCGGAGCAAGGACUAAUCUCGCCUCAUAAUGAGGCGGUGACCUCUUAUUUGCUCGGAGCAAUAUCUGGAAGUCCAGAUUUACACAAUGUUGAUAAAGACGACAUUGUGUCCGCCUGUAAGACAUAUUACGAGACGGUAGGCAGGAGCUUUAGAUAUACCCAGCCAGAAAACUCAUUGCGGGCGGAAGCUGCGAAGAGUUCAGCUCGGGAGUCGAGCGAGAAGAAAGAGGCUGCUGGAAUCGAGACAGAGUGUGCUAGCAAAUGACGAGGUGGAACUCUGGAAGUCCGCCACCGUAGACCUCAUGUCUGACGAAGAUGGCGUUGUUGGCGGGGUCUCUGGAUGGAUUGUACGGUCGCCGUCAUUUCGUAGGCCGGAGCUCUCUGAACUCUGUGCGAAGCUGCAGUCCCGGUUGGAGGCGACGCCGAAGUACAGAGCCACGCACAAUAGGCGUCUGCAUAACGGACCGGCCUCGGAAAGAACGCCGCCAGUUACCUACAACCCCGAGGAGGCAAACGGACAGUUCACGGAGUUGUAGUUUUUGGAUCAUCCUCUACCCAUGUGUGGGCAGAUCCUCGCUUUGUAUAUAGUUGUGUUUGUUUUAAUAAAGCUCGCUCUUUGCAUAAACAUAAUUCCUGGCAAAUGUUCAUUUCCUCUAUAAAUUCAUUCAUGUCCUUGAUGGUAGCCUAAUAAUAGUGUAGUAGCCUACAUAGGAUAACAUGAAUAUACAGCAUAAUAUGAAUAUAUAUAUAUAUAUUAUUACUAUUAUUGGGGAUCUGCCAACCAAUCACAAGUGAUUUUACUUGUUCGAAAGUUGUGGUUUCAUCCAAUACUGAGUAAGGAAAUUCAAGCCUGGCCUGGCCAGGUGUGGUUUUGCAGCCAAUCACGAGUGAUUUUUCUUGUUUGAAAGUAGUGGUUUAUCCAAUACUGAGUAAGGAUAUUCAAGCCAGGCAUGGCCAGCCGCAGUUUCGCUGCAUUCAUAUGCUAAUUAGGCCUAUUAGCACUCUGAAAGCUCUCCACAUACGUCAUUGUCUGUUUCCGACAAUUUAUGGCACAGACAAACGGCGAAAAGCGCGGGUUGCAAAUUGUCGUCAACUACCAAAAAUUAGGGAGAUCUCCGGUCGUUUACGGGGACGAAAAUCACACUUUUCAUGCAGUGAGAGCUGGCCCAGCUGGCCGACAGCCCAGACAUGAGAGAAGCCUCUCCACGUGUAGAACGAAGGACUUCGAGCUUUGUGCGUCUCAACAGUCUUUGGCUCGUGCCACAUGAUCCGGUGCGAGGGCUCUCCUCUCCAGCACGAGAUCAGAGCCAAGAGCUCAGAGCAGGCUGAGGCAGACCGGAGCGCUGACGUGCUCACACCACUGCCAGCAUCGCCCUCCGAACAAUCCACUACUGCAGUGUACAUACAUACUGUAUGCUAGUCACCAUAUUUGUUGCAGCUGGAAUAUAGUUAUUUCUUAAUCCCCCACGUGUGUAGUCUGGAAAACAGUAUUAAGUACUUCAGGAAAAAGCCAGUUUGAGAAUUUAUCGAAUGCUGUGAACAAGUAAUCCAAGUUGUGGCUGCAGUCUAUUGGUAGACCAAAGGAAAGGACACAGCUUCCAAAACAAUCACGUUUGAUAAUUCACUAGUAGCAUAGUUUAGCACAGUGCUACAGACGCGCGGGAACCUAUUUUUGACCAGGGGUGCUGAAUAACAAAAAUAAUGGAUGUCCGACACCCCCCCCCCCCCCCCCGGACAUGUUUAGGAUUUUCACUGCUGAAUACGUCAUUUUAGUGCGGUGUGCGGGUGAUAGCGAGAAGUUUUAGAAAAGUCCUGGGCAGCCACAAAUUCCAAUGUUCCGCGACAGCACUCCGAGUCCACUGCGCCCACCCUAAGCCCACAG